CGCGGCGGGGCCGGGCGCACGGCGGCGGCCGCUCCGCUCCGCUCCGCUCCGCUGGGAUCGCGGUUUCCGCCUCCUCCUCGCCACCCCCGGGAUUUCGUGCCGCUCGGUGCGCUGCGGGGCGGGCGGGGAGGGGGGGACGCGCACAAAGGUGCAAACGCGGAGCGGCGGCGCGGAGACCGGCGGCGAUGCCGGGCGGACCGUUUUCUCCUGAGACGAGCCCAGCCAGCCGGUCAAAAUAGAGUCCCUCAAGGUGACGGUCGACUUCUUGAAGGUGCCCCUCGGCCUGAAGAAGCCCGCGCUGAAGGAGGCCGCGGCCGCCGUCCCCGGGCCGGGGAGAGCCCAGCCCGUCACCGUGGAGCGCUACAAGGGCCGGCGCUCCGACAACAUGGACAAUGAGUCGCAGUACUCGGGAUAUUCCUACAAGUCCGGGCACUCCCGCAGCUCCCGCAAGCACAGGGACCGUCGGGAUCGGCACCGCUCGAAAAGCCGGGACGGGAGCCGCGGGGACAAGUCGGUGACCAUCCAAGCCCCGGGCGAGCCCUUGCUGGACAACGAGUCGACCCGGGGCGACGAGCGGGACGACAACUGGGGCGAGACCACCACGGUGGUGACGGGCACGUCGGAGCACAGCAUCUCGCACGAUGACAUCACGCGCAUCACCAAGGACAUGGAGGACAGCGCGCACCUGGACUGCUCCCGGCACCUGGGCGUCUCGCUGGCCGGGGCCCUGGCGCUCCUCUCCUUCCUCACCCCGCUCGCCUUCAUGCUCCUGCCCCAGCUGCUGUGGCGGGAGGACCUGGAGCCCUGCGGGACGCCCUGCGAGGGGCUCUUCAUCUCGGUGGCCUUCAAACUCCUCAUCCUCCUGCUGGGCAGCUGGGCUCUCUUCUUCCGGCGCCCCAAGGCCUUCUUCCCCCGCGUCUUCGUCUUCCGGGCGCUGCUCAUGGUGCUCGUCUUCCUCCUCGUCGUCUCCUACUGGCUCUUCUACGGCGUGCGCAUCCUGGACUCGCGGGACCGCAACUACCAGGGCAUCGUGCAGUACGCCGUGUCGCUGGUGGACGCGCUGCUCUUCGUGCACUACCUGGCCGUGGUGCUGCUGGAGCUGCGGCAGCUCCAGCCCCAGUUCACGCUCAAGGCCGUGCGCUCCACCGACGGCGCCAGCCGCUUCUACAACGUCGGCCACCUCAGCAUCCAGCGAGCAGCCGUGUGGAUCCUGGAGAACUAUUACCACGAUUUCCCAGUCUACAACCCUGCCCUCCUCAACCUGCCAAAAUCCGUCCUGUCCAAGAAAAUGUCUGGGUUUAAGGUGUAUUCCCUCGGCGAGGAAAACACGAUGAACAACUCCACGGGCCAGUCCCGGGCCGUCAUCGCCGCAGCCGCCCGGAGGCGCGACAACAGCCACAACGAGUAUUACUACGAGGAGGCAGAGCACGAGCGCAGGGUGCGGAAACGGCGCGCCAGGCUCGUGGUGGCCGUGGAAGAGGCCUUCACCCACAUCAAGCGGUUGCAGGAGGAGGACCAGAAGAACCCGCGGGAGAUCAUGGACCCGCGGGAGGCGGCCCAGGCGAUUUUUGCCUCCAUGGCCCGGGCCAUGCAGAAGUACCUGCGCACCACCAAGCAGCAGCCCUACCACACCAUGGAGAGCAUCCUGCAGCACCUCGAGUUCUGCAUCACCCACGACAUGACGCCCAAGGCGUUCCUGGAGAGGUACUUGAGUGCCGGGCCAACCAUCCAGUAUCACAAGGACCGCUGGCUGGCCAAGCAGUGGACGCUGGUCAGCGAGGAGCCGGUGACGAAUGGCCUGAAGGAUGGGGUGGUCUUUGUGCUGAAGCGCCAGGACUUCAGCCUCGUGGUGAGCACUAAGAAGAUCCCUUUCUUCAAGCUCUCGGAGGAGUUUGUGGACCCCAAGUCGCACAAGUUCGUCAUGAGGCUGCAGUCUGAGACCUCCGUGUGAACUGAAGAGGGAUGGAGAGGGGCUGGGGGUGACACCCUUCGCCGAGGCUGGGCUUGCUGCAGCCAGAUCUCUCCGUCUUGUCCUCCCUGUCUCUGCUGGGGCCUGGGGAGGCCACCGCUUGAGGGCAGAACUGUGGCAGCCACCUGGAAGCAGUGCCUGUGUUUGGCCCCGUCACCUGCCUGUGACCACUCGCCCUCCAGCCCUCUGUCUUGGCUUGACCCGCCUUUCGGUGGGCUGAGUCCCUCCUUCCUCAUCCCUGUGCUCGCCAAAACCCAGGUCCUUGUAGCAAUCCCCCAGAAGGUGCAUCCAGCAAAGGACAGUGUCACGGCCAGAAAGGAGACCGCAUGUUUUGGUGCCAUAACUCAAGGGCUAACUCUCCAUUAGAUUUUCUUCACCAGCGUCCUCAAGUGCAGUUGGGUCUGAAGGACCUUUUACACUUCCCUGUUUUCUACUUGGCAACUGUCCUGUCUCUGGCCUUAAAGCACCACCCCGUGUCUAGGGUUGGUUUUUAAUAAUAGAGACUUUUGGAGUAUUUUGCAAACACCUCUCCAGUCUGUGGCUGCUAUGAAAACCUCCCCGACCGACCCACGGGUGGGGAAGAAACUGAACUGGCGAUGCUCCCAGCGACAGCCUGGCUGUACACGCGUCCUCCUCGCGCCUCCACGCUCGGCUUUUAACAGAAGCAGGAGAAGGACUGGUUUUUGCAAAAGAAGUUGUUUUAAAGUGAUGGUUUUGCCUGCUGUGCGUGUGCUCUCUAAGGAGAUCUGUGUUUCUGUAAAUAGCAGCCCGCCCCGAGCCAGGUCCUCCACUCCCACCCCGGCUCCCAGGGUCUCUUUGCACGAGGUUCUUUGCACCAUUCCCGCAGCGCAGAGGGGCCUUAAAGCGGAUGUCAGACACGUGCCGGCUGCCAGAAUGGCGUAAAAAAUCAUCUCUGAGUAGAAGCAAAAGCCUGCUUUUCCUGCCUCGCUCGUAACGCCGAAAGGGCUGGCGAAAGCGAUGAGUUGCAGGAUUCGCAAGAGGCGACUUCUGCCGCGCCCGGGCGCAGGGGCUUCUCGGCGCCGUGGCUGCGGGAGGUUCGGAGGCGCGGCGUGAGGCUGAAAUCCUGCAGACAGAGACCUCGGGACCUGCCGCCGUCGCCCCUCGGCUCCCCUACGCGCGCCCCGUCGCCCCUCGGCUCCGCUUCUCUUUGCGUUUGCACAAUAUCCUUUCCCUUUUGCCCGCCCUUUCUUUCCCCCCGUGUCUCGUGCCCGAAGUUACGCGCGUAGGUCCGUCCCCGUCGGUACCUGCGCUCCGCUUGCCCUCGGCUGCCUUUCCUGGUUCCCAGCAAACCUCCCUUUUCCAGGAGCCUCCGUUUCCAGGUUUCUGGGGCUUUACGAUCCCUCCGUCGCCGGCCCCCUCGCCGCGCCCUUGCGUUACCUCGCCAGGCUGCCGCCGGGCUCGUCUCCAACCGGGACCCCCGGCCUCCCGCUCCCCCGAGCCGGGCCAAGGCCGCCGGCGGGCGCCGGGCUGCGUCCUGCUCCGAGCCAGCUUCCAGUCUCGUUUACACCAGCACUGCGGUGCCGGAGUGACUCCGCUUGACGCCCCUCCCGGUGCAAACCCGGCCCGGUUCCCCAGCGCUUCGGGGGCUGCUCCGCACCCCGGUGCGCCCGGUCCCCGCCGCUGAGCGUCUCUGGUGCCUCUUCCCGUCUUCCAGCCUCUGCCAAAGCUCGAGGAGCCGGGUCCGGUCGGGCCGAGCGCGGCUCGCGGAGGGUCCGGGCUCCUCCCCGGCCCCCGGGCGCCCGCCGCGACGGGGACGGCGUCGGGGGUUUCGUUGCAAAGAGACUUCAGCGAGGGAGGCACGGGACGCGUAGACCGGGGCGAGGGGAGGGGGUUCCCACCUGGAGUUUGAGAAGAAUAAAGCUUUUUUUUUUUGUUGUUCGUUUUGUUUUGUUUUCUUUGCAGAGCCGAGACCUUGUGCAUGCGUGUAGAAAGUUGUAAAAUGUAAAAUUGUUUUUUAAUAUAUAAAAAGCUUGUUUUUACAGUUUGCAGUGGAUCGAAGCAUUACGGCAGUGUUAGGAAGUUUUGAUUUUUUUUUUUCAUAGAGGAACUAAAAUUGUACAAAUUUUUUUUAUAUAUAAAAUAAACACAUUUGACAUUU